rnacentral:rRNA from 1 species
ACAGAGGGUGCGAGCGUUAAUCGGAAUUACUGGGCGUAAAGCGCGCGUAGGCGGCUCUUCAAGUCAGGCGUGAAAGCCCCGGGCUUAACUCGGGAACUGCGCUUGAUGCUGUCGAGCUAGAGUGUGGAAGGGGCGAUUGGAAUUCCGUGUGUAGCGGUGAAAUGCGUAGAUAUACGGAGGAACACCAGGGGCGAAGGCGGAUCGCUGGGCCAACACUGACGCUGAUGCGCGAAAGCUAGGGGAGCAAACGGGA